CCUCACCCCCCACCCCCCAAAAAAAGUUUGACCUAAUUCCCUCUAUAUAAACAUUCUCUUCCUUUAGUGUUGGAGGUGAGAAAAACAGAGGAGAAUACUUAGAUAGAGUUGGGGAGACAAAAAAUCUGAAAGAAAUAUAAAUACAAGAAUACAUACAUCAAAAAAAAAAUUAGUAGUGAAGUUCCUCAAGCAAGAAUCUAUAAGAGAAUUUCUUUUGUGCUCGCCUCUUGCAAAGCUCGUCGGAGUGUCGUUGGGGUAGUGAAGUUGCUGCUCCUUCUAGCUCGUCGUCUUCCCUACUUCACUGUCGGGAAAGGAAAUCUCCUCCCUUGAUGAUGCUCAAUUUGAGAAGGUUAUGGCUUUCAGGGAACAAACUCUUCAUCUUAUGGCUAAUGAUUAUUUUGUGCCCUUCUAUUGAUUAGAAGAGUUACGUUACAAAUCUUAUAAGAACAUGAAAUGUUGAUACAAUAACUAUCCACAUGACUUGUCUUAGACACAGAGAAUGUGAAAUUCCUAUUAGCUAGACUUUAAUGAUGUGUGAUUAAUAAUAAUUAGCUCUAAGUUAACUAGAACACUUGGUAAAUAAUUACCUUUUGAAGUUCUUUAUCCCUUAUUCACUAUGUUAGUCAUGUAUUAUAAUUUCCAGUUUGUAGUUGCUCGCUUUUUUGUUAUUUAGAAUUAAAAUAAUGACUACAGAGUUCAUCACUAAAGUGAAGUCUAUAUAACUUAUUGUAUGCACAAAGUAAUCACAUUUUUAGCAGUUUUAGCCUUUGCUUUUAUAUUGCUGCUAUAAUGCAUUGGAGAGGAGAAAAUGAUUCAUAUCUAAAGUGACUUUUAGUUGUUUCUUAUUAUGUAGUUAUGUUUUUCAUGACAUUUUAGCACCUCAAUUGUUAGAUCUCUCAAAAUCAAAUAUUGAUUUCAUGUCACUUACUGCAGGUGUCUAGCUACGAAGAUGGUAUAUGACCAAUGUAAAUUAUGCGAGUUCUCAUAGAGUAUUAAUUCUAGAAUAUGAUAUGGUCAUUUCUUUUCAGAUGGAUGUAAUAUAUUGCUCCUUAACAUUUAAAGAAUUUUGUUAUGUAAUUUUGAAAUGCUUAUAUUUUUCAUAUAUGAUGGCUAAUUUGUUUCAAUAAUCUUACUUGUAUAUUUGCGUCAAUACUUAUUGUAUAGCAAAUAAAUAAGAUUUGAGCAAUUAAAUUGGAGUAGAAAUAGAAUGAAAUUAUGAGAAUAAAAAAAUGGAAUAACUGUUGAUGCAUUUAACACAAUAUGACAGUUUAAAAAAUAGCCACUUGAUCUCACAUAUAAAUUAUGACGGUGCUAAACUGUUGUAUUAAACAAUUAUAAUCGUCGUUCUAUACGAAUUACAGUUACAACAGUUUUGCCAAAACCGCCGCAAUAAUUUGUGACGACGUAAUUACUAUGCUUUUUAGAACUGCCACAAAUGAACAUAGUGCGGUUAAAACUGUCGCAAUGCCCUUAUAAAAAUUGUCGCAAUUCAUCCGUUUUCUUGUAGUGUCUAGAGAGGGAAAUAUUUGCGAGGAAGAUGUGUUCUUCUUUUAGGGAUUUGAGAGAAUGAUAUCAAUUGGGUAAAUUUAAGGUACAAGUACUUAUAUAGGGUUUUAGGUGAAGGUCAAAAUAACAUAGUAUUAGACUUGAAUAAUUAGGAAAAGAC
rnacentral:lncRNA from 1 species